rnacentral:rRNA from 1 species
GGACAACCUACCCUCUGAACGGGGAUAAACCCGGGAAACUGGGUAUAAUACCCGAUAGCGCUGGGCUGCUGGAAUGCACCCAGUGCGAAAGCUCCGGCGUCAGAGGAUGGGUCUGCGGCCUAUCAGGUAGUAGUGGGUGUAACGUACCUACUAGCCUACGACGGGUACGGGUUGUGAGAGCAAGAGCCCGGAGAUGGAUUCUGAGACACGAAUCCAGGCCCUACGGGGUGCAGCAGGCGCGAAAACUUUACAAUGCCGGCAACGGCGAUAAGGGGACCUCGAGUGCCAGGAUACAAUUCUGGCUGUCGAGAUGCCUAAAAAGCAUUUCAUAGCAAGGGCCGGGCAAGACCGGUGCCAGCCGCCGCGGUAACACCGGCGGCUCGAGUGGUAACCGCUAUUAUUGGGUCUAAAGGGUCUGUAGCCGGCCGGAUAAGUCUCUUGAGAAAUCCGGCAGCUCAACUGUCGGGCUUUCAGGAGAUACUGUUCGGCUUCGAGGCCGGAAGAGGUGAAGAGGUACUUCAGGGGUAGGGGUGAAAUCUUGUAAUCCUUGAAGGACCACCAGUGGCGAAGGCGUCUCACCAGAACGGUCCUGACGGCAAGGGACGAAAGCUAGGGGCACGAACCGGAUUAGAUACCCGGGUAGUCCUAGCCGUAAACGAUACUCGCUAGGUGUCAGCCACGGUGCGACCGUGGUUGGUGCCGUAGGGAAGCCGUGAAGCGAGCCACCUGGGAAGUACGGCCGCAAGGCUGAAACUUAA